UUUGUUCAAAAGCGUGCGUG
rnacentral:misc_RNA from 1 species